CUUUCCCUCUUUCUUCCUGCUUUACACAUGCAAGUCGAACGGCAGCGCGGGCUUCGGCCUGGCGGCGAGUGGCGAACGGGUGAGUAAUACAUCGGAACGUGCCCAGUAGUGGGGGAUAGCUCGGCGAAAGCCGGAUUAAUACCGCAUACGACCUGAGGGUGAAAGCGGGGGAUCUUCGGACCUCGCGCUAUUGGAGCGGCCGAUGGCAGAUUAGCUAGUUGGUGGGGUAAAGGCCUACCAAGGCGACGAUCUGUAGCUGGUCUGAGAGGACGACCAGCCACACGGGGACUGAGACACGGCCCAGACUCCUACGGGAGGCAGCAGUGGGGAAGUUUGGACAAUGGGCGAAAGCCUGAUCCAGCAAUGCCGCGUGUGUGAUGAAGGCCUUCGGGUUGUAAAGCACUUUUGGCGGGAACGAAAAGGACUGUGCCAAUACCACGGUUCGAUGACGGUACCCGCAGAAUAAGCACCGGCUAACUACGUG
rnacentral:rRNA from 1 species